rnacentral:rRNA from 1 species
UGGGGAAUAUUGCGCAAUGGGGGGAACCCUGACGCAGCAACGCCGCGUGAAGGAUGAAGGCUUUCGGGUUGUAAACUUCUUUGAUGAGGGACGAAAGAAAUGACGGUACCUCAAAAACAAGCCACGGCUAACUACGUGCCAGCAGCCGCGGUAAUACGUAGGUGGCGAGCGUUGUCCGGAAUUACUGGGUGUAAAGGGCGUGUAGGCGGGGAUGCAAGUCAGAUGUGAAAUGCCGGGGCUUAACUCCGGAGCUGCAUCUGAAACUGUGUUUCUUGAGUGUCGGAGAGGAAAGCGGAAUUCCCAGUGUAGCGGUGAAAUGCGUAGAUAUUGGGAGGAACACCAGUGGCGAAGGCGGCUUUCUGGACGAUAACUGACGCUGAGGCGCGAAAGCGUGGGGAGCAAACAGGAUUAGAUACCCUGGUAGUCCACGCUGUAAACGAUGGAUACUAGGUGUAGGAGGUAUCGACCCCUUCUGUGCCGGAGUUAACACAAUAAGUAUCCCACCUGGGGAGUAC